rnacentral:rRNA from 1 species
GAUGAACGCUGGCGGCGUGCCUAAUACAUGCAAGUCGAGCGAAUGGAUUAAGAGCUUGCUCUUAUGAAGUUAGCGGCGGACGGGUGAGUAACACAUGGGUAACCUGCCCAUAAGACUGGGAUAACUCCGGGAAACCGGGGCUAAUACCGGAUAACAUUUUGAACCGCAUGGUUCGAAAUUGAAAGGCGGCUUCGGCUGUCACUUAUGGAUGGACCCGCGUCGCAUUAGCUAGUUGGUGAGGUAACGGCUCACCAAGGCAACGAUGCGUAGCCGACCUGGGAGGGUGAUCGGCCACACUGGGACUGAGACACGGCCCAGACUCCUACGGGAGGCAGCAGUGGGGAAUAUUGCACAAUGGGCGCAAGCCUGAUGCAGCAACGCCGCGUGAGGGAUGACGGCCUUCGGGUCGUAAAACUCUGUUGUUAGGGAAGAACAAGUGCUAGUUGAAUAAGCUGGCACCUUGACGGUACCUAACCAGAAAGCCACGGCUAACUACGUGCCAGCAGCCGCAGUAA